GAUUAAGUUAUUAAGGGCGCACGGUGGAUGCCUUGGCACUAGAAGCCGAUGAAGGACGUUACUAACGACGAUAUGCUUUGGGGAGCUGUAAGUAAGCUUUGAUCCAGAGAUUUCCGAAUGGGGAAACCCAGCAUGAGUUAUGUCAUGUUAUCGAUAUGUGAAUACAUAGCAUAUCAGAAGGCACACCCGGAGAACUGAAACAUCUUAGUACCCGGAGGAAGAGAAAGAAAAUUCGAUUCCCUUAGUAGCGGCGAGCGAAACGGGAAGAGCCCAAACCAACAAGCUUGCUUGUUGGGGUUGUAGGACACUCUAUACGGAGUUACAAAGGACGACAUUAGACGAAUCAUCUGGAAAGAUGAAUCAAAGAAGGUAAUAAUCCUGUAGUCGAAAAUGUUGUCUCUCUUGAGUGGAUCCUGAGUACGACGGAGCACGUGAAAUUCCGUCGGAAUCUGGGAGGACCAUCUCCUAAGGCUAAAUACUCUCUAGUGACCGAUAGUGAACCAGUACCGUGAGGGAAAGGUGAAAAGCACCCCGGAAGGGGAGUGAAAUAGAACCUGAAACCGUGUGCUUACAAGUAGUCAGAGCCCGUUAAUGGGUGAUGGCGUGCCUUUUGUAGAAUGAACCGGCGAGUUACGAUUUGAUGCAAGGUUAAGCAGUAAAUGUGGAGCCGUAGCGAAAGCGAGUCUGAAUAGGGCGUUUAGUAUUUGGUCGUAGACCCGAAACCAGGUGAUCUACCCUUGGUCAGGUUGAAGUUCAGGUAACACUGAAUGGAGGACCGAACCGACUUACGUUGAAAAGUGAGCGGAUGAACUGAGGGUAGCGGAGAAAUUCCAAUCGAACCUGGAGAUAGCUGGUUCUCUCCGAAAUAGCUUUAGGGCUAGCCUCAAGUGAUGAUUAUUGGAGGUAGAGCACUGUUUGGACGAGGGGCCCCUCUCGGGUUACCGAAUUCAGACAAACUCCGAAUGCCAAUUAAUUUAACUUGGGAGUCAGAACAUGGGUGAUAAGGUCCGUGUUCGAAAGGGAAACAGCCCAGACCACCAGCUAAGGUCCCAAAAUAUAUGUUAAGUGGAAAAGGAUGUGGCGUUGCCCAGACAACUAGGAUGUUGGCUUAGAAGCAGCCAUCAUUUAAAGAGUGCGUAAUAGCUCACUAGUCGAGUGACACUGCGCCGAAAAUGUACCGGGGCUAAACAUAUUACCGAAGCUGUGGAUUGUCCUUUGGACAAUGGUAGGAGAGCGUUCUAAGGGCGUUGAAGCAUGAUCGUAAGGACAUGUGGAGCGCUUAGAAGUGAGAAUGCCGGUGUGAGUAGCGAAAGACGGGUGAGAAUCCCGUCCACCGAUUGACUAAGGUUUCCAGAGGAAGGCUCGUCCGCUCUGGGUUAGUCGGGUCCUAAGCUGAGGCCGACAGGCGUAGGCGAUGGAUAACAGGUUGAUAUUCCUGUACCACCUAUAAUCGUUUUAAUCGAUGGGGGGACGCAGUAGGAUAGGCGAAGCGUGCGAUUGGAUUGCACGUCUAAGCAGUAAGGCUGAGUAUUAGGCAAAUCCGGUACUCGUUAAGGCUGAGCUGUGAUGGGGAGAAGACAUUGUGUCUUCGAGUCGUUGAUUUCACACUGCCGAGAAAAGCCUCUAGAUAGAAAAUAGGUGCCCGUACCGCAAACCGACACAGGUAGUCAAGAUGAGAAUUCUAAGGUGAGCGAGCGAACUCUCGUUAAGGAACUCGGCAAAAUGACCCCGUAACUUCGGGAGAAGGGGUGCUCUUUAGGGUUAACGCCCAGAAGAGCCGCAGUGAAUAGGCCCAAGCGACUGUUUAUCAAAAACACAGGUCUCUGCUAAACCGUAAGGUGAUGUAUAGGGGCUGACGCCUGCCCGGUGCUGGAAGGUUAAGAGGAGUGGUUAGCUUCUGCGAAGCUACGAAUCGAAGCCCCAGUAAACGGCGGCCGUAACUAUAACGGUCCUAAGGUAGCGAAAUUCCUUGUCGGGUAAGUUCCGACCCGCACGAAAGGCGUAACGAUUUGGGCACUGUCUCAACGAGAGACUCGGUGAAAUCAUAGUACCUGUGAAGAUGCAGGUUACCCGCGACAGGACGGAAAGACCCCGUGGAGCUUUACUGUAGCCUGAUAUUGAAAUUCGGCACAGCUUGUACAGGAUAGGUAGGAGCCUUUGAAACGUGAGCGCUAGCUUACGUGGAGGCGCUGGUGGGAUACUACCCUAGCUGUGUUGGCUUUCUAACCCGCACCACUUAUCGUGGUGGGAGACAGUGUCAGGCGGGCAGUUUGACUGGGGCGGUCGCCUCCUAAAAGGUAACGGAGGCGCUCAAAGGUUCCCUCAGAAUGGUUGGAAAUCAUUCAUAGAGUGUAAAGGCAUAAGGGAGCUUGACUGCGAGACCUACAAGUCGAGCAGGGUCGAAAGACGGACUUAGUGAUCCGGUGGUUCCGCAUGGAAGGGCCAUCGCUCAACGGAUAAAAGCUACCCCGGGGGAUAACAGGCUUAUCUCCCCCAAGAGUUCACAUCGACGGGGAGGUUUGGCACCUCGAUGUCGGCUCAUCGCAUCCUGGGGCUGUAGUCGGUCCCAAGGGUUGGGCUGUUCGCCCAUUAAAGCGGUACGCGAGCUGGGUUCAGAACGUCGUGAGACAGUUCGGUCCCUAUCCGUCGUGGGCGUAGGAAAUUUGAGAGGAGCUGUCCUUAGUACGAGAGGACCGGGAUGGACAUACCUCUGGUGUACCAGUUGUCGUGCCAACGGCAUAGCUGGGUAGCUAUGUGUGGACGGGAUAAGUGCUGAAAGCAUCUAAGCAUGAAGCCCCCCUCAAGAUGAGAUUUCCCAACUUCGGUUAUAAGAUCCCUCAAAGAUGAUGAGGUUAAUAGGUUCGAGGUGGAAGCAUGGUGACAUGUGGAGCUGACGAAUACUAAUCGAUCGAAGACUUAAUCAA
rnacentral:rRNA from 1 species